rnacentral:rRNA from 1 species
UACGUAGGGGGCUAGCGUUGUCCGGAAUCAUUGGGCGUAAAGAGCGCGUAGGCGGCCAGAUAAGUCCGGUGUGAAAGUCACAGGCUCAACCUGUGAAUGCCGCUGGAAACUGUCUGGCUAGAGUCCGGAAGGGGCGAGUGGAAUUCCUGGUGUAGCGGUGAAAUGCGCAGAUAUCAGGAGGAGCACCAAUGGCGAAGGCAGCUCGCUGGGACGGUACUGACGCUGAGGCGCGAAAGCGUGGGGAGCGAACAGG